UGGGGAAUAUUGGACAAUGGAGGAAACUCUGAUCCAGCAAUUCUGUGUGUGUGAAGAAGGUUUUAGGACUGUAAAACACUUUUAGUAGGGAAGAAAAAAAUGACGGUACCUACAGAAGAAGCGACGGCUAAAUACGUGCCAGCAGCCGCGGUAAUACGUAUGUCGCCAGCGUUAUCCGGAAUUAUUGGGCUUAAAGGGCAUCUAGGCGGUUAAACAAGUUGAAGGUGAAAACCUGUGGCUCAACCAUAGGCUUGCCUACAAAACUGUAUAACUAGAGUACUGGAAAGGUGGGUGGAACUACACGAGUAGAGGUGAAAUUCGUAGAUAUGUGUAGGAAUGCCGAUGAUGAAGAUAACUCACUGGACAGCAACUGACGCUGAAGUGCGAAAGCUAGGGGAGCAAACAGG
rnacentral:rRNA from 1 species